UGGAUCCCAAGACACCAUCACCGGCUUCCUUUCUUAGUAGCCAGGGACUAAGGUUAAGCUUGACUCCACACUUACCGUCCUGCACCUCUCAUCUCUGUGUGUUUGUGUGUCUGCGUUCUGCAGGGCUGCUUGGCCCACGUGGCGAGGCUCUUACAGCCUGGCCCGCAGGCCCACACUACCUAGGCGGCCUGGGCCCUGCACUGCCCAUUCUCCACUGUCUCCUCACUUCUGGAGGUUUCUAGUAUUCAGGGCCUCCGCGGCUGGGUCCUGCCUCUUUGGGAAGCUUGUGCUCCCAUUACUUCCGGGUCAGUCGGCGGUGACCUGUGGGGAGAAUGCGCCCAGCAGACAUUCCCUCAGUUUUUCCCUCUUUCUUGAGCUGUCUUCACUCCAGGUUCCGUUUUGUGUAUUUAUCUGCCACGGGACCCUUGUUUCUCUUUUUAAAUCUUAAUUUAUUAUUUUGGGGACAGGGACAGGUGCCAUUUAAAUCGCCUCCAUGCCUCUUCCUGUGUGACCUGGGCUGGAUCACGUUGGGAGGCUGAGCAAACCCAGUAAGUUGGACAAGAGCACCCAAGGCUCUGAUGUGCUGAAGCAAGGAGACCAGAGUGCUUUUGUAGGUUGUGUGUGUGUGUGCACGUGUGUGUAUGCAUGCGUGUGUGCGCGCGAGCGUGCUAUUUAAGCCCCUCAUGUUCAGCUGCACUGUUAUCCACUGAGCAAGCAGAAAAUCCAGCAGCACUUCCAACGUACGGGGGCAGGAGCGACUUGUUCUGUGUGGGUAAUCCAGCCUAGAGUUCCCGUGCAGCCUUCACUGCGGGGCUCUGACUUCUGGCUGUAGCAGCAGCCGAGGCGGGAUUGCACAGGGCUGCGGCAUCUGCAGGAAUAAACUGUUCUUGUGCUGUUUUUGCCUUUGGUUAUAAGAUUGUAAGUUACCCCUUCCCCCCUUGGUGGUAAUAAAGGGCCCUCGUUGGACUUCUUGUUUAAUUUGUAUAUGACUCGUAAAAUACUUUCUUCGAAAGAAAACUCAAGACACGGAAUGAGAAUAUCUCUGCGAAUGCCCUGCCUCUGAUAUGGGUCACCAGACUGGACACUGGGACAGUAAAGCACUUGACCUGAUAUUUUCUGCAUGGAUGUUAGGGACCAUAUACCUUGUAAAAGAACACUUGCCACGUGAUCAGUACGGUAAGAGCGGGAAAAUCCCCUCAAACGUAUCAUUUUCACAGGAGCCCAUUCCAGCUCCCCACACUGUACACGGCGUUUUAAUAAAAGCUGAACUGUGAAAACA
rnacentral:lncRNA from 1 species